GUCUAUAGUCAUGACACCCCGAACGUGCCGGAUCUCAUCUGAUCUCAGAAGUUAAGCAGGUUCGGGCCUGGUUAGUAUUUGGAUGGGAGACCACUUAGGAAUACCAGGUGCUGUAGGUA
ensembl:rRNA 5S_rRNA 5S ribosomal RNA